rnacentral:tRNA from 1 species
CGGUAUGUAGCUUAAUUUGGUGGAGCGUGGUUUUGAUAAGACUGAGGUUGUUGGUUCAAUCCCAACUUUACCGA